rnacentral:rRNA from 1 species
UACAGAGGGGGCAAGCGUUGUUCGGAAUUACUGGGCGUAAAGGGCGCGUAGGCGGCCUUCUAAGUCGAACGUGAAAUCCCUGGGCUCAACCCAGGAACUGCGUCCGAUACUGGAAGGCUUGAAUCCGGGAGAGGGAUGCGGAAUUCCAGGUGUAGCGGUGAAAUGCGUAGAUAUCUGGAGGAACACCGGUGGCGAAGGCGGCAUUCUGGACCGACAUUGACGCUGAGGAGCGAAAGCCAGGGGAGCAAACGGG